CAAUUGCUCAGAGCACUUGCAUUGCAAAGACUUCUUCUUUGCAAUGCAAGUGCUCUGAGCAAUUG